rnacentral:snoRNA from 1 species
UGCCUCUGUUUGAUAGACACAGAGCAAUUAUUGUCUGCUGCUAAGGCUUCCAUUACAGAUGCAAGAAAAGCAUCCCUGUGCUUUCUGUCUGUCUGACCGUGGCAGCCAAAAGUGAAGGGCAAAUGCAGAGGGAAAUGAGGAGCAGUU